GCAAGUCGAGCGGUAAGGCACUUCGGUGUACACGAGCGGCGAACGGGUGAGUAACACGUGAGUAAUCUGCCCUCCACUCUGGGAUAAGCACUCGAAAGGGUGUCUAACACCGGAUACGACACAGACCUGCAUGGGUUCUGUGUGGAAACUUUUUUGGGUGGGGGAUGUGCUCGCGGCCUAUCAGCUUGUUGGUGAGGUAAUGGCUCACCAAGGCUUCGACGGGUAGCCGGCCUGAGAGGGUGAUCGGCCACACUGGGACUGAGACACGGCCCAGACUCCUACGGGAGGCAGCAGUGGGUAAUAUUGGACAAUGGACGCAAGCCUGAUCCAGCAACGCCGCGUGAGGCAUGUCUGCCUUCAGGCUGUAAACAUCUUUCAUCAUUCCGCAGCUCAUCGUUUAGGUGCUUUACGGUAGGUGUACAA
rnacentral:rRNA from 1 species